rnacentral:rRNA from 1 species
GUGGCCAAGCUACUAAGGGCAGUCGGUGGAUGCCUUGGUGCCAAGAGGCGAUGAAAGACGUGGUAAGCUGCGAUAAGCUUCGGGGAGCUGCUAAACAAGCUUUGAUCCGGAGAUCUCUGAAUGGGGCAACCCGCUCUGGCUAAUCCCGGAGCAUCAUCCGCUGAAUACAUAGGCGGAUGAGGCGAACGGAGGGAACUGAAACAUCUUAGUACCUCCAGGAAAAGAAAACAACAGUGAUUUCCAAAGUAGCGGCGAGCGAAAUGGAAAGAGCCCAAACCGAGCACAUGUCAAGCCCGGAAGCGUUGUGUGCUCGGGGUCGCGGGACCCGAUCGGACGGUUUUCCGGAACCGUCGGGAAGUUACCAAUCCGUUAAGUCGCCGAAGCGUCUGGAAAGGCGCACCAUAGGAGGUGACAGUCCUGUAGGUCAAACUUAACGGACUUCCUGGAUCGGGCACCCAAGUACCGCGGGACACGUGGAACCCCGUGGGAAUUCGGGAGGACCAUCUCCCAAGGCUAAAUACUCCUUGGCAACCGAUAGUGAACCAGUACCGUGAGGGAAAGGUGAAAAGCACCCCGGUGAGGGGAGUGAAAUAGUACCUGAAACCGAUUGCCUACAAGCAGUGGGAGCACGAUGAGGUUGCGCUUCGGCGCCUCCUCCGUGUGACCGCGUGCCUUUUGCAUAAUGAGUCAGCGAGUUACUCUGCGUAGCAAGGUUAAGCCGUGAGGUGGAGCCGUAGCGAAAGCGAGUCUGAACAGGGCGUUCAGUUGCGUGGAGUAGACCCGAAACCAAGUGAUCUAUCCAUGGCCAGGGUGAAGCGCGAGUAAGAUCGCGUGGAGGCCCGAACCGUUGUAGGUUGAAAACUGCUCGGAUGAGCUGUGGAUAGGGGUGAAAGGCCAAACAAACUUGGAAAUAGCUGGUUCUCCCCGAAAUAUAUUUAGGUAUAGCCUCGUGUCAUUCUUUGGCGGGGGUAGAGCACUGGAUGGGCUAGGGGUCCUACCAGAUUACCAAACCUAACCAAACUCCGAAUACCGCCAACAGUUAUCACGGGAGUCAGACUGCGGGAGCUAAGUUCCGUGGUCGAAAGGGAAACAGCCCAGACCGCCAGCUAAGGUCCCUAAGUGUGUGCUAAGUGGGAAAGGAUGUGGAAAUGCACAGACAACCAGGAGGUUGGCUUAGAAGCAGCCAUCCUUUAAAGAAAGCGUAAUAGCUCACUGGUCGAGUGAGUCCGCGCCGAAAAUUCAACGGGGCUCAAGCACACCACCGAAGCUGCGGGUUCGUUCCGGUUGCGACCGGGGCGAGCGGUAGGGGAGCGUUCCGUACGGGCUGAAGGUCGACCGCAAGGACGGCUGGACUGUACGGAAGUGACCAUGCUGACAUGAGUAACGAAAAAGCGGGUGAAAAACCCGCUCGCCGAAAGCCUAAGGUUUCCUGAGUAAAGUUAAUCUUCUCAGGGUUAGUCGAUCCCUAAGCCGAGGCCGAAAGGCGUAGGUGAUGGAAAACAGGUUAAUAUUCCUGUACCACCGUGUCAUCGUUUGAGUGAUGGGGGGACGCAGAAGGGUAGGUCAGUCUCGUGACGGAAUACGGGAUUCAAGCAGGUAGGCUGAAGGGGCAGGAAAAUCCACCCCUUCGCUAAGGCCGAGAUGUGAUGACGAGUCCGCUUGCGGACAUAAAGUGAUUGAUCCCAUGCUGCCAAGAAAAGCCUCUAGCGAGAUGACAAGGUGAUCGUACCGCAAACCGACACAGGUAGGCGAGGAGAGAAUCCUCAGGCGCUUGAGAUAACCCUGGUUAAGGAACUCGGCAAAAUGACACCGUAACUUCGGGAGAAGGUGGGCCUGUAUUAGGUGAAGCGAUUCGCUCGUGGAGCUGAAGCAGGCCGCAGAGAAAUGGCGGUAGCGACUGUUUACUAAAAACAUAGGACUCUGCUAAGUCGCAAGACAACGUAUAGGGUCUGACGCCUGCCCGGUGCCGGAAGGUUAAGGGGAGAUGUUAGAACCGCUUCGGCGGGACGAAGCAUUGAACCGAAGCCCCGGUAAACGGCGGCCGUAACUAUAACGGUCCUAAGGUAGCGAAAUUCCUUGUCGGGUAAGUUCCGACCUGCACGAAUGGCGUAACGACUUCCGCACUGUCUCAACCAGG